UACGUAGGGUGCAAGCGUUGUCCGGAAUUAUUGGGCGUAAAGAGCUCGUAGGCGGUUUGUUGCGUCGGCUGUGAAAUCCCGAGGCUCAACCUCGGGUCUGCAGUCGAUACGAGCAAACUAGAGUGUUGCAGGGGAGACUGGAAUUCCUGGUGUAGCGGUGAAAUGCGCAGAUAUCAGGAGGAACACCGGUGGCGAAGGCGGCGUUCUGGACUGUAACUGACACUGAUGAACGAAAGCCAGGGGAGCAAACGGG
rnacentral:rRNA from 1 species